UGAGCCUGAUUUCCUCCUAACCCCCAGAGCCUGCCUGCCUGCCUCAGCUGCACAGGGACCUAGUGCUUCCCUCCACGCCUGCAACGUCCCCCAGGACUGCCCAAGCUGGCUGCAUGCAGCAGAUUUGAAGAUUCCCAACAUCUUAGAAGAGACAGUACAUCCUGCACAGUAAGGCCUGGAUUAAUUAAUCCUCCACACCUCUAUGAGCAAGUUCCUGUUCCUAGAAUAUACCAAGGACACUGACUACCUCUUUUCCCACAACUCCAGUGUACUAUUGACCAAAUGCAGUCUUGUAUGUAAAGGAUCCUACACAAAACAAGUAUCUUCAUCUCCAUAUGCAAACCAAGAAGGCUUAGCAGAAAGACAACCAGAAAAGAGAGAGACAGAUAUUUAUUUGCAGAAUUCAUAUAAAAGACAGAAAGUUAUAUGUAACAAAUGAUGGCAUAGAAGGAAUUGCUAUUAUAAUUCAGAAUGAAGACAAAAAUAUUUCCACUCUUGAUAAGCAAAAGGAAAAAAUCAAUCACAUGGAAUUUCCCUCCAUCUUUUUGAAGCCAUUCAAUUUCCUGCAUGGUACACUACUUCCAAAAUCUGUAAGAAUGGGAUAUAUUUCAACUUUUAUUUUGUUUUACCAACAUGAAUAAUUCAGCAAACCUAUAGUCUGUACCAUAAAUGACAUCCAUUAGAUGUUUUUUGUCUUACAUUAUAACCUUUCUUUAAAAAUAGUAAAAUCAAACUGUAUAUGCAAAUUAAAGAUUGAAUGGAUAUUACCUAAACUCUGAAGUCUUUUAGAAUGGAUGUAUGGGAGAAAAGUGUGAUUCAAAACCCUUCAAUAAUACAGUUUAACAUUUAAACCAUUAACAACCAUCAGGAAUGAAAACUUAUUAAAACAUAUCUCUAAAGGGUCUAAGCAAGUUGUAUCAUCAGAUGACCUGGAUCUAUUUUUCUGUAAAGAAUUUUUCAAUACUGUAAAGUUUUUCAGUUGUAUGCAUGUAUUAUUAUACAGUAUCUAGACACCUGUAGCAGGCUCAAGGAUACAACCCUGGCGUCUGAUGCACCCUGGUGGUCAGACUCUCCUGCUGAGCUCUCUGGCCACUAGGCCUGUGCAAACUGGCUAGUAUUCGCUUUGGAUUUGGAUUUGGCCGAUUCAGGGGGCAGUGAUUUGAUGAUCUGAAUCACUGUCCCGAAUCAAUUAGACUGAAUCAAAUUCGGAAAUUGGGCCAUGGCUGAAUCAAUUGAAUCUCCAAAUCAAACAUACCUCAUCCCCUGCCCACUCUCCCAGCCCCAGCUUCCCUGCUCUUUAAAAAAAUAAAUAAAUAAAAAGCCCCGCACCCACCAGCUUCUGCCAGGCCAAGUCCCAGUUUUGGGGGAACAGACCAAAUUAGAAGAAGGCCCAGAAGCCUAUGUGGAUGUGUGACCACAGUGAGACAACCAACCAGAGACAGCCACAGAUGACAUCAUCAGGAGUCACCAGAAGGGAAGGAGAAUACAAAAGCAGAGACUUGAGAGCAACAAAGGGUCUCUCCCAGUUCCUUCUCAUCCCUCUCUUUGUCCCAUCCCUUCUUCUCCUCCCCAAGAGGGGUCCCCAUCCCUGUCCCUGUCCCCCCUGGGAAGGUCCCCAAGGCCACCAUGGACCUAGGGCAUGCCAGCAGCCCAUCUCAUGCACCCCACUGGAGUGGGGCUGUGGGCCUUGGCAUCCCACCUCCAGACUGCUGACACCUAAGAGAAAGAGCAGAGUGAAGCCUGCAUCCUGAUCAGAUGUACUUUGACUCUGAUGACAGUCCUAGGAUUAGUAGAUAUAUAGAAUUGUUUGAUUGUUUGUAUUGCUUCCUUUCUGUUAUUACUGUGUAUCAAUAAAUUUACCUAUUAUCGAAUGGAAA